rnacentral:rRNA from 1 species
GCAUAUAACUAGGCGGAGGAGAAGAAAUUAACGAAGAUUUCCUUAGUAACGGCGAGUGAAAAGGAAACAGUCCAGCGCUGAAUCCCUUGACCUAUGGUAAAGGGAGCUGUAGCGUGUAGGAGAGCCUAUCCGUCGAGUUUUCGGCUUCGGAAUCGCCCUCGAAUGGGAGUCCAAAGCGGGUGCGAGACCCGUAACGAAGUCGCGCUCGUCGGUUUGAGCCUCCUUAGAGUCGGGUUACUUGAGAGUGUAGCCCAAAGUGGAAGGUAAACCCCUUCUAAGGCUAAAUAUGACCGCGAGACCGAUAGCGAACAAGUACCGCGAGGGAAAGUUGAAAAGAACUUUGAAGAGAGAGUUCAAAAGGGCGUGAAACCGCUUAGAAUAAAACGGACGGAGCCGUCGGUGGCCUUCCGGAAUCAGUCGUACGACGCGCGAUGGCGCGUUUUGUCGGAGCGAAAGUCCGGCGGGCGCGUUGGGAGAUAGUAGCGUUCGUUCGAUGCAUUUCCGGAGGGUAUGCGCCGCGACCGAUGCGAGUGCUAGCGAAUCCGGCGAUUUGAGGUGGAAACCCCUCACGGGGUCUUCAUUACCAGUUCGUCGGCUUGUAAUCGCUAGACGUAAGCAUCGAGCGCGUAAUAUAACAGACACUGGCUAAGAUGCUCGCUCAAGCGGUGGAUAGUCGGCGGAAUUUGCCGCACCUGCUCGCAGGUUAUGCGAAUUACCGUUCGGCGUUUGAAACCGCAGGCGAGUUGGUGUCCUGGCGUCAGCGGCGUCCGAGACGGUCAACCGUCCGACCCGUCUUGAAACACGGACCAAGGAGUCUAACGUACGCGCGAGCUAAUGAGUGGAAAACUCAUAAGCGCAAUAAAAGUAAAAGGUACGAUCCCGGGGUAUUUACUUAUCCAGGGCGCAGUACCGUCCCAUCCUGAUCGCUUGUCGGUAGGGUGGAGAUUGAGUGCCUACGUUGGGACCCGAAAGAUGGUGAACUAUGCCUGAGCAGAGCGAAGCCAGAGGAAACUCUGGUGGAGGUUCGUAGCGGUUCUGACGUGCAAAUCGAUCGUCAGACUUGGGUAUAGGGGCGAAAGACUAAUCGAACCAUC